CUCCCUCCCUGCCUUCCCUUCCUUCCUGCCUUCCUUCUUCCUUCCUCCCUUUUUUCUUUUCUCCCUUCCUUCCUUCUUAAUAUGUUUUUGGCCUUUUCUUUAUAUAUGUGGCCUAGCAAUAUCCUGUGUUUGGAAAAGUAUAAACCUAAGGCAUCACCUUUACAGAAAAUAUCUUCCACGGAAACAUCUAAAGGCAAAAAUCCUUCAAAUUCAAAUUUAUCCAAUCAUUUCUUCUGCUUACUACCAUCCUAAAUCAUUUUUCUUUAGUAAGAUCUAUUAGUGUGAAGCUAUUAAGCUAUUAAUGUAUGUAUCAUAUUAAUGUAUUAAGACAUUAAGUGAGGAAGUAAAGUUGCAUUCACAGGCCUUGAACUUUUCCACAUCUCGAUUUUUACCCAUCAUCUCUGCAUAGUUCCCUAAGGCAGCCUUCAAAUGGUGAUGUUUCUUAUAAUCCAGAGUUCAGAAGUGGCUUCUCUUCAAUCUUUCUGUGGAAUUCUAAACCACGUGAUAAAGGAGCUGGUGCUGUCCUGGGUGGCAUGAGAACCAUGGGCUGAGGAUUGGACAAGCUUGCUCUACAAUAUUCACAGGCCACAGAUCAGCCCUGGGGUUCAGAGGGAUCCUGACAGCUACUCCUCAAGAUCCUCUCUGUUGUGAUUCAUCCCCCCGGGGCCCUACAGUUUCUCCUU
rnacentral:lncRNA from 10 species